AAACUGCGAUAAGUAGUGUGAAUUGCAUUUAGUGAAUCAUCGAAUCUUUGAACGCACCUUACACUCACUGGUAUUCCGGUGAGUACGCCUGUUUCAGUAUCAUUGAAAACACACAAUCAAAACAUUUUCUUUGGUUUGAUUGGCUUUGGGUCUAUCAAAAAGUUUGGCUUGUUUCUUACAAGCCAAGCGGCCUGAAAUAUAUUGUCUGGCUAAUUGCAUCGUUGAUGAUCGCUAUUAGACUUUGGCUUUUUUAAAUGAACUGGAGGUUGAUUAACCAGUUUUAGCUUUAGUCAAAUGGUCAUUGUAAAAAAAAUCUCGAUCUUGGCUAGGUGUUUAUAGCCGAAAAUUUUUUUUUGGCUAUAACCGAAACCAAUAUAAUCACAUUUAGUUAUCGAUCUGAAAUCAGGUGGGACUACCCGCUGAACUUAAGC
rnacentral:misc_RNA from 1 species